UGACAGUCCUCCCUUGUGCAACUCUUUGUCCUGUCUCUUUGUUUUUCAUUUCAUUCUUCUCACACCCCACUCUGGUUACUGUUCAACAGGUAGGCUGGUCCUGACAGAUUUAUUACCAAUUUUCUAAGAAACUGCCGUAUUGAUCUCCAAAGUGACUGUACACAUUUGCACUCCCACCAGCAAAGGAGGUACGUUUCCCUUGCCACACAUCCUCUCCAGCAUAUGCUGUCAGUGUUUUUGAUCUUAGCCAUUUUGACCUGUGUAAGAUGGAAUCUCAGAGUCAUUUUAAUUUGCAUUUUCCUGGUGGCUAAGAAUAUUGAACAUUUCUUUAACUGUUUCCGUGGGGAAGGCACUCCUUUAUCUGGGCCACACCUUCUGCUGGAAGCCUAUGUAAGGACAAUGGAAGAAGGGAGAGUGUGUUCUUCCUUUGCCUGCUUUGUCAGCACCUUCACUGACAUUGGAGCCUACUUCUCCGAGAUUCCAGCAUUACAAAAGUGGAACUGAGCAACUACUAGACUCUUGAACUUUCCAUUCACAGAUAGCUAUUGUUGGACUACAGCCUUCAGUCACUUGACACAUUUCUGAUACCAGAUAUGUGUGUGCACUGAGGCUAGUCCCCAGCAGUAACCAAAGGAAGAUCCCAUGAUUUAAAUUAAUUCUGAUAUCACCUACCUGAAACUAGCAUGAGCUCUCACGAGUAAAAGGCUCCAUUCCACGACACCAUCUCCCUAUCUGACCUGAACUGUAAGUAGUAGGUUGCUAUUUAUAUUUCAACUGACUAUAUAUCAAGACCGCUCAUGAACACCCCACUCA
rnacentral:lncRNA from 1 species